AUCCUCCGUUGUGGUGAAAAUUUUUCCGUCGACGUGAUGUCGGACUGUUUUCAAAAACAGUCGAGACAAAAGCCGAUCCGGCAGAGCAAUGGCAGUUAGUUUGCUUGAAACUUUGCUUCGGAAGUCCAACCGGCGAAUUCCAGAUUAGUGCUGCGAAGUCAAUAAUCCUGAUAUCAACUGAUGCGAGGUAGAUGUGAAAAUGACCAAGUCCUGGUUUUGAUCGAACAACCGCAAGAAAAAAAUAUAAACAUUCAACCGGGAAGGCUACUGGCACGGUCAAACUACAUCCUCCAUGGUUUCAUCAAUCCCCCAGAGAUUUAUAACAUCCGGGGAUCCAUUCCAUAGCAGCGAAAUUUUCAACACAAAUAUCAUUUUUUUUACUUGUUUUACUUUUAUCAUGUAUUAUUCAUAUAGUAAUGUAAGGGAUAAUAAAUAAAUGUUAUGUUUUUUGUA